rnacentral:lncRNA from 1 species
UGGGGAGGUGCAGCUCACUAAUUCAGAUUCUGUAUGUUGAUAACAGGAAUGCAACGGCACCUGGGCUCCUGCUAGCGACCGUGAGCUGAUGCAUUUAUCUGGUGUGGUGCUGACCUUCUGCGGCCAAGUGGGAACCAAAGACACAUCUACUCUUGUGGUGCACAAGCUCUCCAGUGGCAAGAGGAGCGACAGACACCUGGACUGGACUGCGCACAGGUCCCGCGGACCCAGUGUGCUCUGCUGCCUGGCUGAACAGUGCCUUAAACUGGGAGCCCCUGACUAUGUGGUCAUUAGAAAACCCAUGACAGUCGGGGUGAGAGGACAACUGCACUCUGUACUCCUCCACGUUCGCCUGGAAUUCAGCUGCUCCACCUGGUCUGCUGUGCUGUGGGGAUGCUAUGUUUUCCAGGUGAAAUCCCACCGAUCACACGGCUGAAGGUCCCAGAGGCUCGACGUGGGGACGGGAUCGCACGGGGUGCUGGCCCAGUGGGACCGAGGUAAGGGCUCCAGAGGCAGGGCGGCGCGGGGGAACCCAUGGUCUCGCCCCGGGAGGGGGAAACGCGGACUAGAUUGGGCUUGCUGGCUUUGUGAUAGUGGGAGAGAACAGGAAUGCACCCAGUCUCAGCCUGCCAGCUUUCUGAUAAGGACGUGUGGGUACAGAGGCAGAAGCAGUCAGUUUCUGAGUGGCUCAGCCAGGAAAGCACUCAUUUCUAAUGGGGGUUUGAUGCCAGGUCCCAUAGUCCGGAGAUCACUGGUUGAAGAUGGGAUACGUCAUGCGCCAGAUACUGCAAGCAAAGUGAAAAGCUGGCCAGCCUUUCUUAUAUAAUUUAUACACACUUAGAUAAUGAAAAAACCUGUAACACAGAUUACCCUUUUAAGUUUUGUUUUCGCUGUGUGCAUAUGGAUUGCAAUGCAGCUAUUCAUUUCCUUAUGCAUUUGAAUGUGCUCUUUCAUACAGUACGUAGAUGUUUAAACAGAAUUGUGUCAUAGCCUGGCUCUCGCGUUCACAGCUGGAAUGAACUUCUGAAUAUAUAUUUAAAAAGUCUCAUUCUCUGCUGAAGUGUUUGGCCUCUGGCACAGAUCCCUAUGUUCCUCCACGUUCCUGGCACUUCACUGAGAAUUCAAUGUAAACUGUGAUCUGCUCCUUUUCCCACACUCCUCUGCACAUCUCCGCAGGCCAGGCUCAUGCUGUUUACUUUAGUUAAUGAAGACCCACAAUUCAAACACCUCAAAAAGGGCAGUUUUUGUGUUGCCAUUAGACAGCAGAGAGAAACACCAGCUUCAAAAUAUUGUAUUUCCCGCCAAACACAGAGAUUCUGGAGGAGAUGUGUUUGCAUGCAGAGCUCAGAAAC